AUAGAUAUGCUGAAAUUAGGGAGACAGGGUGGCUUUAGGUGCCAUUGAUUUAAAUAUCGUAUUGGUUCAAGUCCAAUUAUCUAUA